AUCCAGAUGACGAGGCCCAAAUAGGACGAAAUGCGUAUCCUGAAU
rnacentral:hammerhead_ribozyme from 1 species